rnacentral:rRNA from 1 species
AUGAUUGAACUGCCCGAUGCAAAGGAUGUGAAGCUCAACUUGAAGCCUGAUGGCCAUUUAAAUUUCUCAUCAAAGGACCCUGCUAAUGAUAUGCAGUAUGAGCUUGACCUUGAGCUCUUUGAUGAUGUCAGUGUUGAGGAGAGCCAAGCCGCUAUUUCCCUAAGGACUAUAUGCUACCUUGUCAAGAAAGCUGAGGGCAAGUGGUGGCCUAGGAUGCUCAAGAAGGAAGCCAAGCCACCUGUGUUCCUCAAGGUUGACUGGGAUAAAUGGCAAUAUGAGGAUGAUGAAGACACUGGAUUUGGUGACUUUGGUGAUAUGAACUGCUUGAAGCUAGACAUGGGAGGUGGUGAUGAUGAUGAUAAUGAUGAGAUUUUGGAGGAUGAUGAAGACAAUAUGGUUGACAGUGCUAACAAAGGUACCUUAUGA